UACGGAGGGGGCUAGCGUUGUUCGGAAUUACUGGGCGUAAAGCGCACGUAGGCGGACCAUCAAGUUGGGGGUGAAAUCCCGGGGCUCAACCCCGGAACUGCCUUCAAAACUGUUGGUCUGGAGGUCGAGAGAGGUGAGUGGAAUUCCGAGUGUAGAGGUGAAAUUCGUAGAUAUUGGGAGGAACACCGGUGGCGAAGGCGACCACCUGGACAGAGAUUGACGCUGAGGCGCGAGAGCGUGGGGAGCAAACAGG
rnacentral:rRNA from 1 species